UACGGAGGGUGCAAGCGUUAUCCGGAUUCACUGGGUUAAGGUGCGUAGGUGGUUGGUAAGUCAGUUGUGAAAUCUCCGGGCUUAACUCGGAAAGUCAACUGAUACUGUGCGACUAGAGUGCAGAAGGGCAACGUGGAAUUCUCGGUGUAGCGGUGAAAUGCGUAGAUAUCUGGAGGAACACCGGUGGCGAAGGCGGCAUCCUGGACCAAUAGUUGACGCUGAGGAGCG
rnacentral:rRNA from 1 species